UGAGUAGGUCGGGACACGAGAAAUCCCGAUUGAAGAUAGGGGGACCAUCCUCUAAGGCUAAAUACUCCUCAUUGACCGAUAGUGAACGAGUACCGUGAGGGAAAGGUGAAAAGAACCCCGGAAGGGGAGUGAAAUAGACUCUGAAACCGUAUGCGUACAAGCAGUGGGAGCAGGAUUUAGUCCUGUGACUGCGUACCUUUUGUAUAAUGGGUCAGCGAGUUAUUGGUAGUAGCGAGCUUAACUUGAAAGAGGGAGGCGAAGGGAAACCGAGUCUGAAUAGGGCGUCAAGUUGCUGCUAAUAGACCCGAAGCCGGGCGAUCUAUCCAUGUCCAGGGUGAAAGUGAGGUAACACUUACUGGAGGCCCGAACCCACGCCUGUUGAAAAAGUCGGGGAUGAGGUGUGGAUAGGAGUGAAAGGCUAAUCAAGCCCGGAGAUAGCUGGUUCUCCUCGAAAGCUAUUUAGGUAGCGCCCCAUGCGUAACGAUUGGGGGUAGAGCACUGUUUCGGCUAGGGGGUCCGAAGGACUUACCAACCCGAUGCAAACUCCGAAUACCAAUCAGUGUGAGCAUGGGAGACACACGGCGGGUGCUAACGUCCGUCGUGGAGAGGGAAACAACCCUGAUCGCCAGCUAAGGUCCCAAAAUAGUGGUUAAGUGGGAAACGAUGUGGGAAGGCAUAGACAGCCAGGAGGUUGGCUUAGAAGCAGCCAUCCUUAAAAGAAAGCGUAAUAGCUCACUGGUCGAGUCGGCCCGCGCGGAAGAUUUAACGGGGCUCAAACCACUUACCGAAGCUGCGAGUGUGUAGAUUUAUCUACACGCGGUAGAGGAGCGUUCUGUAGGCCGUUGAAGGUGAACUGUAAGGUUUGCUGGAGGUAUCAGAAGAGAGAAUGCUGACAUAAGUAACGAUAAUGCGGGUGAAAGACCCGCACGCCGAAAGUCCAAGGUUUCCUGCUCUACGUUAAUCGGAGCAGGGUGAGUCGGCCCCUAAGGUGAGGUGGAAACACGUAGCUGAUGGGAAACAGGUUAACAUUCCUGUACUUGAUAAAAUUGCGAUGUGGGGACGGAGAAGGCUAGAUAAGCCACUGAUUGGUAGAAGUGGUUUAAGCUGGUAGGGAGUUAUCUCAGGUAAAUCCGAGAUGACAAUCCUGAGAAGUGACAACGAGGGUGCCCUCCAGCACUGAAGUGAGCGAUACCAUGCUUCCAAGAAAAGCCACUAAGCAUAAAUGCUAUUGACGACCGUACCGAAAACCGACACAGGUACACAAGAAGAGAAUACUAAGGCGCUUGAGAGAACUCUGGAUGAAGGAACUAGGCAAAUUGACACCGUAACUUCGGAAGAAGGUGCGCCUCUUAGUAGGUGAAGUUGUACAAACGGAGCCCAAAGAGGCCGAAGAGAACCAGGUGGCUGCAACUGUUUAAUAAAAACACAGCACUCUGCAAACACGAAAGACGAAGUAUAGGGUGUGACGCCUGCCCGGUGCCGGAAGAUUAAAUGAGAGUGUGAGUUUCGACGAAGCACUUGAUCGAAGCCCCAGUAAACGGCGGCCGUAACUAUAACGGUCCUAAGGUAGCGAAAUUCCUUGUCGGGUAAGUUCCGACCUGCACGAAU
rnacentral:rRNA from 1 species